rnacentral:misc_RNA from 1 species
GAUGAAGAACGCAGUGAAAUGCGAUAAGUAAUGUGAAUUGCAGAAUUCAGUGAAUCAUCGAAUCUUUGAACGCACAUUGCGCCCAUUAGUAUUCUAGUGGGCAUGCCUGUUCGAGCGUCAUUUCAACCCUUAAGCCCCUGUUGCUUAGCGUUGGGAGCCUACAGCCUGCUGUAGUUCCUCAAAGUUAGUGGCGGAGUCAGUUCACACUCUAGACGUAGUAAAAUCUUUAUCUCGCCUAUAGAUGAGCUGGCGCCUUGCCGUAAAAACCCCUAAUCUUUUACAAGGUUGACCUCGGAUCAGGUAGGAAUACCCGCUGAACUUAAGCAUAUCAAUAAGCGGAGGA